UUUAUUCUUAUUCUGUCUCUCACCGUCUAUAUCUAUCACACCUACCUAUCAUUACCUGUAUUUAUUAACCUUAAAGUAACAUUUUUUUUUCUAUUUUGUUCAUACUCAUACGAUCACAACGUACACUAAAAAAACCAGCGCCAAAUAUAUCCGAUUAUAUUGGAAAAGUAACUACAUACGCCCGUAAAAGGGCCCAAAUUAUUAUUGUCUUAUUGUCUGUUGAGAGGUUUUACUGUAUAAAGAGGCUGUUUCGCAUUCGGGGGAAAAUAUGUAAUAUAUUUGAUUGAAAUCAAACUGAUAAUAUAUACAUAUUAUGAAUACUAAUCGCAGGUAAACACGACGACAAAACUAUUCGAAAGACUAAAAAAUUCUAAAUUAAAACCAACUCAAAACCAAAACCCAAUCAAACCAAAUGAGAUAUAGGUAUUUAAAACGAAUAAUUUAUAAUACAAUUUGUUUGAAAUAAUCAUAAACGUGCGCACUAGGAGCCAGGGUCUAUUACCCUGCUGAUUUUUUUUUAUAUACAUUGCAGAAUCUGCAUUGCAGGUAUCAGGCAAUUUAGUUUAUUUUAUAAUUUAUUUAUAGGAUAUUUAUAUUAGGAUUAACUAGGUAAUUAUUUCUUUGAUUUAUAGUCUUGUAUAGUCAGAAAUUAUGUGUUAUCGAUCAUAAUACAUACAAAUACACAAUACCCAACCACAAAAUUAUAAUAAUGGUCAAUAUUUAACAAUUUUGUCAAUUAUUCAGUGCUUUAUAUUAUUUUUUUUUUAAAAAAACAUAUAAUAAUAACCACCGUCAGCCCCCUCUGCGCAAUCAUAUUUAAAUAUAAUAAAAUGUAAAUACCUUCCUAAAAAAAGAAAAAUAUCCACAAUAUCAGGUUAACGCUCAAAAAUAUUGUUCAACCGUACCUAUUGUUUUAUCUUAAUGUACACGUUAAACGUGUUUUUAUCACAACAUGUAUAGUAUAUACCUAUAUUUAAUUGUGUAAAAUGGAAUUUUGAAAAUGUUCAAAACAUAAAAACAAUUAUUUUAUUAUUAGGUACAUAUUAUAUAAUACAUAUUCGGCUUUUAUAUACGAAGUCAUGCUGGCAAUAACAAAUCCGGAAUAAGAAGGAGGGGGAGAAGGGUCUACGUUCCCCCGGCCGAUUUUGUCAUCAUUUAUGUAUUAUGUGUAUAAAUGUUUAUACUGUAAUAAAUAAAAAAAAACAUAAUAAUGUAUAUAAAGAAGGCCUUUAUAUUUUCGAAUUCGGCCGGGCCCACGGGGCCUUUAAUCCGCGGUUUUGGCCGACGACAUCGCUCUAUAUGUUAGUUUAAACUUGAAGAGGAAUUAAGAAAUAAUUGUACAGGUACACGUAUUUUGUCUUUUAGAUGCUUUUUUUUUCUUAUAUUCUCGUACACGCCUAUAUUUAAUUAUGCAUAAAAAUGUAAUAAUAAUUUUAAAUUUACCAUCAACAGGUUAGGUUACGUCCUAGCCUAAGCUAACCUAACCUACCUAUAUAAGUAUUAGAGUGUAGAAUUAUAUUUUAAUACAUUAUAUACGUAUAAUAUAUCUACGAUAAGAAAAUUAUACUGGCGGACGUUUACAAAAUGUUAAAAAACUAUAAUAAUAC
rnacentral:lncRNA from 1 species